rnacentral:tRNA from 1 species
UGGCUCAGUGGUAGAGCGCUUGCCUUGCAUGCAUGAAGGUCCUGGGUUUGAUUCCCCAG